rnacentral:tRNA from 1 species
UCUAAUAUGGCAGAAUAGUGCAAUGAAUUUAAACUUCAUAUAUAAAGAUAAACUUUUUUUAGAA